rnacentral:rRNA from 1 species
AUUGAACGCUGGCGGCAGGCCUAACACAUGCAAGUCGAGCGAGCGGCGGACGGGUGAGUAAUGUAUGGGGACUGCCCGAUAGAGGGGGAUCACUAAUGGAAAAGGUGGCUAAUACCGCAUACUAUCGGAUAACCCAUAUGGGAUUAGCUAGUAGGUGGGGUAAAGGCUCACCGAGGCGCCGAUCUCUAGCUGGUCUGAGAGGAUGAACAGCACAACUGGAACUGAGCCACGGCCCAGACUCCUACGGAGGCAGCAUUGGGGAAUAUUGCACAAUGGGCGCAAGCCUGAUGCAGCACUGCCGCGUGUAUGAAGAAGGCCUUAGGGUUGUAAAGUACUUUCAGCGGGGAGGCGUUACCCGCAGAAGAAGCCCCGGCUAACUCCGUGCCAGCAGCCGCGGUAAUAC